rnacentral:rRNA from 1 species
UACGUAGGGGGCAGGCGUUGUCCGGAUUUAUUGGCGUAAAGAGCGUGUAGGCGGCCAUGUAGGUCCGUUGUGAAAACUCGAGGCUCAACCUCGAGACGCCGAUGGAAACCAUGUGGCUAGAGUCCGGAAGAGGAGAGUGGAAUUCCUGGUGUAGCGGUGAAAUGCGCAGAUAUCAGGAGGAACACCAAUUGCGAAGGCAGCUCGCUGGGACGUAACUGACGCUGAGACGCGAAAGCGUGGGGAGCAAACAGG